UGGUUUAUUGGGAGGGGGGAGCGGAGUUAUGCCCGGUCACCUGCAGCUCGGGCAGCUGUGGUGUCUCCGGCGCCUCACCCCCACCUCUCGCUGCUGCUGGGGGCUCCGCUGGGGGGAGCUGGAGCUGCCGGGCCCGCCGCUGUCAGGGGAAAUGGCCAAAGACAAGCGACACACACAAAGAACAUGGCGAGGGAAGGAGGAGUCUGAGCCGACGGCAGCUGCGCUCCCCCGCCCGAAGGACAAUGCCCAGCCCACUCUGGCCCAGCUGCCACCCGGCUCCCGGGGGAGGGGGCUGUUUUCCCAGGGCUGGGCGCCCCUGGUGUCUCCGCCUGCCCCACGCUGUAACAAACUACUCGCAAGUGCUACUGAACAGGACGCAGCUGGAGUGAGAUCUGCAGCGACUGGUACUUUAACCCACCCUCGCCCGCUGUUUGCCCCCAGCCCUGAUUUACUCUGCACUGCAUACAGGAAUUUUCUGUUUUCUGGCAGGAACAAAAACGGGAGCAGUUCCACCAGAAGUACUGAAGAUAGGAUCCAGCUGCUGAGUGUGCAACUUCAGGAAUAACCUUUUCCCCACUCCAAACUACUAGCCACAGCAACUUGCUAUUUCACAUUACCACAUGAAAAUUGCAUCCACUUCAUUGUGGAUACUUCUGUCACAGAUCAUAGAUGCAGAGAAUAUUCUCUUAAUGGCCAAGCAGUGUGGUGUUCCCUGGUUGAGUGUGCAACUUACAUAAAUUAUAAUGGAAGUUGAAAUAGGAAGAAUUGGGCCCAACAAGAAUGAUGUGAAAUGUAAACCAGUAAAAUCUUAGAGGGAUGAAACAGGAAUUUCUGGAACACUGAACUAUUAUAGUGAAGGGCUAGCUGGAGGCAGGGAGUGUGACACAGGCUGGCUGUGGGCAGGGGGGGCCGGUACUCACACGGGGAGAGCGGCUAGGAGCAGCCCGAGCAGCAGGACACAGCUGGGGACUCACCAGGCAGCAGCGGGAGCCCCAGGGCCAGAGAUCCAAGGAGCAGCAGCAGCAACAGGCAAGCAAGUUGAAGACCCAUUGCAGAGGAGCCAAUUUUUUUAGCUAAUUAUGGAGGCAGAAAACUAUGGCACAGCUUCGUCAGAAGUUGAGCUGGCAUGAAGUCUUGAAACACAACUGUCAAACUGAUGGUGGAUAUCCUCUGGAGAUGCCAAGCUAAAUGUUCUUGUGGACUUUCCUCUACUAUUCCUCCCCUGUCACACACCAAGAAAGAAGGACAAAUCUUGAAUUUUUUUUAAAGUGUAAGAAUUUUGUGGUAUAAAAAUGUAGUGAAUAUUUUUCUUCCUUUGACUUGAUGUCUAUAUAUUUCCUGCAGUUUUAGUUAUGAAGUCUGUACUUGGCCAGCUGACUUGUGAUUCAUUCUUGAGAGCUCUGAGUGGCAGGUACUGUAAACAUCCUACACUCUCAGCUGUGGAAAGUAAGGAAGCUGGGAGAAGGCUGUUUACUCUCUCUGCCUUAGAAAGCAGCUGGAGGGAAGAGGAUGGAGAGUAUUGCAAGUUCAAAUAUGUCUCUGCUCUGAUCGUGUUGAUUGUACUUCUGAAAACUUGCAUUUUGUAUUUUACAUUUUGGUGUCAGUAUACAGGUAAUGGAAUUAUGUAGUGAUGUGAAAUUUUAAUGAGAAAGGAACAUAAAAGGAGGGCUGUGUUAUUAAUAUGCUUCUGUGGCAUUGCUGGUAUGAGAGAAUGCUGAGUGGUAGCAAUUAAAACAGUAUGGCACUUACAACCUGAUGUGUGGGCGGGCUUGUGUGGGGGGGUUAUGGUGAUUUUUUUUAAAUAGAAUGACUCCAAGACAGUAGUUUUAAUUUUCAUUAUACUUAUAAGCAAAAAGUAAAAGUACUAGUGUAGCCAUCCUCUAGUGCAGCAGUUCUCAACCCAAAGUGGGGCAGUCCUGGGGGCAGCUCCACCCUCUCUCUCCUCCUCUUCCUUCUCUCCCCACACCCCACUUCAGGCCCCACCCCUCUGGCCAGGUUCUAGGUGGAAAGCCAGAUCUAGGCAGUGCGGGGCAGCUGCUCCUCUGGCUGGGGGUGUCAUGGCGCAGGCAGCUGUGGCAUUCCCCAUUCUGCUGCUGGUGCCAGGGUUGUGGCUGCUCCUCAGCUCCCAGCCCCCUUGGACUGCUCACGCAGCUGGUCAGAGCUGCCCAGGCGGCUCCGGGUCCAGCAGAGCCCUCAGGGAAUAGCCACUGGAACACAGCCCCAGAUGGGUGGGUGGCCUGCUGUGGAGGGUGGAGGUGGCGCUCAUGCAUAUGCCAAAGGAUUCCCACCCCUGGCCCGGAGCCCUGAGUUCACUCCCCGCUGGGCCCUGGAGUUUUUCUAGCAUGUUGAGGGAAGCUUCAGAAAGAAAAAGGUUGAGAACCCCUGCUGUAAUGUUCAAAAAUGAAUAAGGCUCCCAAAAAUCAUGAGCCUUUUUUUCUUUUUUUUUCCAAAAAGGAACAAAGAGUCCUGUGGCACCUUA